UAUAUACAGGGGGCACCGGUACAGAGUCAGUGUGGAGGUUAUAUACAGGGGGCACCGGUACAGAGUCAGUGUGGAGAUUAUAUACAGGGGGCACCGGUACAGAGUCAGUGUGGAGGUUAUAUACAGGGGGCACCGGUACAGAGUCAGUGUGGAGGUUAUAUACAGGGGGCACCGGUACAGAGUCAGUGUGGAGGUUAUAUACAGGGGCACCGGUACCGAGUCAGUGUGGAGGUUAUAUACAGGGGGCACCGGUACAGAGUCAGUGUGGAGGUUAUAUACAGGGGGCACCGGUACAGAGUCAGUGUGGAGGUUAUAUACAGGGGGCACCGGUACAGAGUCAGUGUGGAGGUUAUAUACAGGGGGCACCGGUACAGAGUCAGUGUGGAGGUUAUAUACAGGGGGCACCGGUACAGAGUCAGUGUGGAGGUUAUAUACAGGGGGCACCGGUACCGAGUCAGUGUGCGGGGGUACAGGCUAGUUGAGGUAAUCUGUCCAUGUAGGUGGGGGCGAAGUAACUAUGCAUAGGUAACAAACAAACAGCGAGUAGCAGCAGUGUACAAGAGGGGGGUCAAUGUAAAUUGUCCGGUGGCGAUUUUUAUGAAUUGUUCAGUAUUCUCAUGGCUUGGGGAUAGAAGCUGUUGAGAAUCAUUUUGGUCCUAGACUUGGCCCUCCGCAACCGCUUGCCGUGCGGUAGCAGAGAAAACGGUCUAUAACUUGGGUGACUGGAGUCUCUGAAAUUUUUAUGGGCUUUUCUCCGACACUUCCUGGAUGGCAGGAAGCUUGGCCCGUGAUGUACUGGGCAGUUUGCAUUACCCUCUGUAGCACCUUACGGUCAGAUGCUGAGCAGUUGCCAUAGCAGGCAGUGAUGCAACCGGUCAGGAUGCUCGCGAUGGUGCAGCUGUAGAACCCUUUGAGGAUCUGAGGGCCCAUGCCAAAUCUUUUCAGUCUCCUGAGGGGAAAAGUUUUUGUUGUGCUCUCUUCACACCUGUCUUGGUAUGUUUGGACCAUGAUAGUUCGUUGGUGAUGUGGACACCAAGGAACUUAACUCUCGACCCGCUCCACUACAGCCCCG